CUGUCCAAGGUUCCACGUGUAGUGAUCAAUUACCAAACACCUAUAUCGGGCUUGAUGUCCCCUUCUAAAGUAAACCGAUGCAUCGAAUUCUCAGUCGAGAUCGAAUAUCAACAACAAAGGGUUAUUAUUUGUGCUGGAGUUCGUUUUUAACUUCUCGCGUCUUCGUUUCUUCGCUGCGCAGAAACAGUAACGGCCCUGCCAAACAGCUCUAGAUAUUUUCACUCUCUCGCUUUCCAGAAUCUACGAGUUGGAUAGAGAGAGAGAGAGUGUGUGUGUUUCUUUCGUUCGCACGAGGAGAGAGAGUGAGAGACGGGGAACGUAUUCUAUAUCUGCUUAGAAGACAAAGGAAUUGGGAGAGAGAGUUCAGAGUUUGCAGGUUUCGUCUUCUGCCGUUGGUUGUUGAUCGAAAGAUGAUCAAAGUUUGGAAUCUGGAUGGUUGAUUCAAAAAUUACAAGGGAUGGAGCUAUCCCUGUUCUCACUUUGGCAAUUGAAGGAAACCUCCUUAAAGGUUUGAGAGGGUCAACAAUACAGAAAUCUAUUGUUGUUGGGAUCAUAAUCGUUCAUUACGUGUUCCUGCCUCUUACGGGCAUAUUGAUCGUUAAAGGGGUGCCUAAAUUUUGCUUAGUGUACUCCAAUCCAUUAUAUCUAUUGAUUCUCCUAAUUCUACACUCCCACCUGCAAUGAACAUAGGAUCUCUUGCCGCUGCAUCUCACCGGGAAAAUGCAUCAAUAGGUAUGGAUUUCAAUUGCUAUUGUUUUUGGUGUUGAAGAAAGAGAAGAUGGUUUGUAUCAAUUGUGGCGGACUUUGUGACUCUGGACACCACAAGUAUAACAAGGGUUUGAUCUUGGAAUUUCAAGAUGCUAGCCAGUUUUGUUCAUAGAAUGAAUGGACCAACACUUUGUGGAGCUCAGUUCGUAGAAGAUGUGCAGACCUAUCUCACACUGAUUGUAGCUUUGCCCUCGAAUUUCUCCAAGCAAGCUUGCAUUGGGUGAGGUUUUUGGAGUAGACCAAUCUGUUGCAUUGAAACUACUGGGAUCUGAAAGAUCAUUCGAACCUCUUAAAGUUAUGGCUUUGAAGACCAGGGUGACGAGGAAAAAAAGGUUCUUAGAAAGUGAUUGUAGUGCCACUAAUUUGUAUUGUGCUGAAAGUCAUGAUAAAAGCUUAUCAAGUCGGGGGACUGUGACAUGAGCAAUGAUUAGACUUUGGUUGCCGCUAUAGCUGAAAGUUCUUUUUCUUAUACAGACACAAUCAUCAAAUCAUUGCUAGAACAGUGAUGCAGCCAACAACAAAAAGGAAAUGAAUGGUGAAGGACCAGAAGAUUUGUACAGUUUUGAAUAUGAAAAUGUAGACGGAUUGGUAGUGCUUUGUAAACUCAACAAUUUUAUAGGCAGGAGUAAUCAACAAAAAACAAAAUGCCAAUAUCACUGCAUUAUAUAUGACUGAUCUUCGUUGCUUUGUAAACUCAAAACAAUUUUAUAGGCAGGAAACUCUUAUUUUAUCACAAUCAAGCCCUUUUUAUUCAUAUCAGUCAUUAUUGUAAA